rnacentral:rRNA from 1 species
UGACGCUGGCGGCGUGCUAACACAUCAAGUCGAACGAUGAAGCCCCUUCGGGGGUGGAUUAGUGGCGAACGGGUGAGUAACACGUGGGCAAUCUGCCCUGCACUCUGGGACAAGCCCUGGAAACGGGGUCUAAUACCGGAUACGACACAGGGAGGCAUCUCCUCUGUGUGGAAAGCUCCGGCGGUGCAGGAUGAGCCCGCGGCCUAUCAGCUUGUUGGUGAGGUAACGGUUCACCAAGGCGACGACGGGUAGCCGGCCUGAGAGGGCGACCGGCCACACUGGGACUGAGACACGGUCCAGACUCCUACGGAGGCAGCAGUGGGGAAUAUUGCACAAUGGACUCAAGCCUGAUGCAUCGACGCCGCGUGAGGGAUGACGGCCUUCGGGUUGUAAACCUCUUCAGCAGGGAAGAAGCGCAAGUGACGGUACCUUCAGAAGAAGCGCCGGCUAACCACGUUCCAGCAGCCGCGGUAAAACGUAGGGCGCAAACGUUUUCCGGAAUUAUUGGGCGUACUAGAGCUCGUAGACGGCUUUCGCGUCGGUUGUGAAAACCCGGGGCUUAACUCCGGGUCUUCAAUCGAAACGGGCAGGCUAGAGUUCGGUAGGGGAGAUCGGAAUUCCUGGUUUAGCGGUGAAAUGCGCAGAUAUCAGGAGGAACACCGGUGGCGAAGGCGGAUCUCUGGGCCGAUACUGACGCUGGGAGCGAAAGCGUGGGAGCGACAGGAUCAGAUACCCUGGUAGUCAACGCCGUAAACGGUGGGCACUAGGUGUGGACAGCAUUCCACGUUGUCCGUGCCGUAGCUAACGCAUUAAGUGCCCCGCCUGGGGAGUACGGCCGCAAGGCUAAAACUCAAGGAAUUGACGGGGGCCCGCACAAGCGGCGGAGCAUGUGGCUUAAUUCGACGCUACGCGAAGAACCUUACCAAGCUUGACAUACACCGGAAACAUCCAGAGAUGGGUGCCCCCUUGUGGUCGGUGUACAGGUGGUGCAUGGCUGUCGUCAGCUCGUGUCGUGAGAUGUUGGGUUAAGUCCCGCAACGAGCGCAACCCUUGUCCCGUGUUGCCAGCAGGCCCUUGUGGUGCUGGGGACUCACGGGAGACCGCCGGGGUCAACUCGGAGGAAGGUGGGGACGACGUCAAGUCAUCAUGCCCCUAUGUCUUGGGCUGCACACGUGCUACAAUGGCCGUACAAGACUGCGAUACCGUGAGGUGGAGCGA